ensembl:lncRNA
GAUCAAUUGGAUUCCAAGGAUCAGAGCUGGAGGGCGAAGCAGGCUGGGCAGACGGGCUCCCGAGCAGCACUGCAGCAAGAAAGUCCCAGUUCUGGGGAAAGUGAGUGAGAAGAUAGGGCCAAAAAGGGAAGAAGUGACAUGUGAGAUCGCCUGGCCCCAGACCACUUUCCCGCCUUUGAAACCAUCAAGGAACAUCACCCUCUGCAACUCCCCCUGAAUCCCAAACUCUUAUUUCACAGAUGAGCAAGCUGAGGCCACGGUUGGAGAAGGUAGUCCCUGCCCCUGGGGUCAAUGUUCUAGCAAGAGUGCCCUCAAACCUAAGGACAGGCGAAGCCCUCUCCUCCCCCAACGCUGUGCACACCUAAAGACGAGGGUGUGGAGGAUCAGGAAGCCCGAGGCCUGGGAUGUCAGGAGCAGGGAAAGGUAGGGCGGGGGUGGGGGAGGCUCUUUGAGGAUAUGGAGAGGCCAUCAUCAGACAAGCCGCGGAACGUCACACGCUUCUGGUCAGCGGUGAGGAUGGAAGCUAUUUCCAGACUAGAUACGGGAAUUGGCAUCAAUCAUGGCAACGAUGACAGUGACAAUAAUCAUAGCUCUCAUUUACUGAGACCGGAUCCAGGACUGGGCACAGACCCUCUACAUGCAGGUCUGAAACCGCUUCCUGUGUGCCAGCCCAGAUCGCCUGGUUCACCAUGGGACACUGCUCCGGCUCGUCCCUCCCCUGUUCACCCAGCCCUUGUCAUGCUCACUGCCUUGUGGCUCCGACACCCUCUCAGGGGACACUGCUCACACAGCUUGAGGCCCCUUUCGGACCUGUCAGUCCUGGCCCAGAGACUCCCGUGUCCUCUGCCCCACUGCUCC